rnacentral:rRNA from 1 species
GAUGAACGCUGGCGGCGUGCCUAAUACAUGCAAGUCGAGCGAACAGACGAGGAGCUUGCUCCUCUGACGUUAGCGGCGGACGGGUGAGUAACACGUGGAUAACCUACCUAUAAGACUGGGAUAACUUCGGGAAACCGGAGCUAAUACCGGAUAAUAUAUUGAACCGCAUGGUUUAAUAGUGAAAGACGGUUUUGCUGUCACUUAUAGAUGGAUCCGCGCCGCAUUAGCUAGUUGGUAAGGUAACGGCUUACCAAGGCAACGAUCCGUAGCCGACCUGAGAGGGUGAUCGGCCACACUGGAACUGAGACACGGUCCAGACUCCUACGGGAGGCAGCAUUAGGGAAUCUUCCGCAAUGGGCGAAAGCCUGACGGAGCAACGCCGCGUGAGUGAUGAAGUUCUUCGGAUCGUAAAACUCUGUUAUUAGGGAAGAACAAAUGUGUAAGUAACUAUGCACGUCUUGACGGUACCUAAUCAGAAAGCCACGGCUAACUACGUG